CCGAUUGUCCCAGCAAUGACGCUAAAUUCAACAUUCAAUAUUUCUAAACUGUGCUGAUAGUUGAAGAAUUUAUCAGACUGUAAGACAGCCAGCCACUGGACGACAAAGGUGGGGCACGGUGACAGUCUGUGAGUACUAGGGCUCUUACUUUCAUUAGAAGAAUUAUGAACUAUGAACUCAUUUAUGAUCUAUGAUGAACUUGAUGAAAUAAGAACCUGCUUCUUUCAUCUUAAAUUUUAGAUGUCUUAUUGUGUGUAUGUGUGUGCUUCCCUAAAUGCAGCGCCUGAGGAGUCUGGAUGGGGCAGUUAAAUCCCGUGGAGUUGGAGCUUCAGGCCUAACUUGGGAACUGAACGGAAGUUCUUUGGAAGAGUAGCCGAGUCAUCUUUUCAAACCCCACUUUUUAAUCUUAUAGUUAGCCAGCAUGUUGUUAAUGGUGUGUUCAAAGGCUCAGUCGCAAAAUACAGCUUUAACCAAAUUGUGGCAGAUGUCAGACAACAACAUUGUAUUUGGUUUGUAUUUCUCCUCUGACUGAAAGCUGGUGACAUUUGCAUGGAAUUUCUAAGAAGUCAAGGAAUUGUUGAGCCUGAGAGAACUCCUGGAAAAUAACGAAACUCUGAUUAACCCUUUACAGACCUGCGUGAGUUGGGCUCACACUAUAAUCUUAGCCCUUGGGAAGUAAAGACCAGAGGUUAAGAAGUUCAAGGUCAUCUUCUUCAGCUACAGAGGAUGUGAGGCCAGCCUUGCAACAGGAGACUCUGUCUCAAGAAAUCAAAACAAUGUGCAAUUUGAAGCUUCUCUCGGCAGAUCCUAUUUCCCACACCCGAGCCCAGACCGCUUUCUACGAAUGGAGACUCCUUUUCUCGCCCUCACCUGCUGCCGGAAGUGCAUCCGGGGCUUCUUCCGGUCCCGGGGCGAUUAGGUGUCCACCGCCCGGGAUCGCCCCCUCCCACCACUCAGGCCAGUCACGAGGUGAAUUGGAAAGGCAACAUCGUGUUCUUGAGAAGCCUGAAUUCAUGGUCACACCUGAAACAUCAAAGGCUUUGGGGCUGACUCAGAUCUGCUGUGUAUUUUAAACAACAUCCCCUCUGGCUCACCCAGAGAAGGGUCCUCAGGGAAAAGUUUGACUAAUGCAAUAGUCAUUUCAUCUAUGGCUCUAAGAAAGUGAAACUAGAGGCAACCGUUUGUGUAAAGAAAGCGAGAAGAGCAGGUAGCACUUAUGUUCCUGGGGUCAUGCCCAGAAUUAUCCAGCAAACUACCCAUAGGCCUUGCUAAAAAUGGGUUAAAUUCUCCCAGGCCUUGGCAAAAGGAGCACUUGUUCCUGAUAUUCUCGGGUCUUGUCCCCCCAAAAAGUCGCAUGGCUCCCAGCAAGUGUUCAUCAAUUUAGUGGGUAAGAAACUGUAUCCUGUAGCUCACACAUGCAUUUUCUGGGUCACACAUCCUCUGCUCCUAGAUCUAAGUAGUACUUAGCACUUUUAGCCAUAGGCGUUUUUUUUUUUUUAAUUUACAUUUUGUGCCCUUUUUGUGGAUCUACAAAAAUGUUUCUACAUUCUAGAUUCUAAGCCUUUGUUAGGUAUGUGUCACAAAUAUGUUUGCCCGAUAACUUACUCACACAAUCCUGAUAAUUGCUUCAACUUUAAAUAUGAUCAAAACUGAUCCACCUUUGCUAUAAUCAAUGAUAAAAAUAAAGAAUGUAAAUCGACAAACUGAAUCUAAUUUUUAAAAGUGACCCAAGAAAUUAAAUGUCAGCUUAUAAACUACUAGCUACUUUUCUUAUUACAAUGACUACAUCCCCGACGAGAAGGAGGAUUUAUUUAACUCUUACUUUGGGGUAUAAGGCAUGGUGGCAGGUGGAGCUCACAGUCUUGACGGUAGGCGCUUAUCUGAGAGGGCUGGAAGGCAGAGUGUUUUAUAUUCUUUGUAUUUUACUUGAUACCCACAAGUUGCUAGCUGUAGUAUAAUUUUAUUUUUAAGUGUUAAGCGUGUUGAUUCCUUGGUGGUUUGUGUGCUCUGUGUCUUCCCAGGAGUGGUGUGAGAUAGAAGCAUCCAUGACUGGCAAGCUGCCUGCCAAGUAAGUAUGCAAAAUGCGACAUCAAGAACGAUAAAGGAAAGGAGUCUGAGUCACAGGCCGAAACAGGUCCCUGGAAAGAAGGGGAAAGAG